rnacentral:rRNA from 1 species
CGUGGGUAACCUGCCCAAGAGAUCGGGAUAACACCUGGAAACAGAUGCUAAUACCGGAUAACAACAGAUGAUGCCUAUCAACUGUUUAAAAGAUGGUUCUGCUAUCACUNUUGGAUGGACCUGCGGUGCAUUAGCUAGUUGGUAGGGUAACGGCCUACCAAGGCGAUGAUGCAUAGCCGAGUUGAGAGACUGAUCGGCCACAUUGGGACUGAGACACGGCCCAAACUCCUACGGGAGGCAGCAGGA